UACGAAGGGGGCUAGCGUUGCUCGGAAUUACUGGGCGUAAAGCGCACGUAGGCGGCUUUCUAAGUCGGGGGUGAAAUCCUGGAGCUCAACUCCAGAACUGCCUUCGAUACUGGAAAGCUCGAGUCCGGGAGAGGUGAGUGGAACUGCGAGUGUAGAGGUGAAAUUUCGUAGAUAUUCGCAAGAACACCAGUGGCGAAGGCGGCUCACUGGGACGGUUAC
rnacentral:rRNA from 1 species